ACGUAGGGUGCGAGCGUUAAUCGGAAUUACUGGGCGUAAAGUGUGCGCAGGCGGCCGAGCAAGUCGAGUGUGAAAGCCCCGGGCUCAACCCGGGAACUGCGUCCGAUACUGGCAGGCUUGAAUUCGGGAGAGGGAUGCGGAAUUCCAGGUGUAGCGGUGAAAUGCGUAGAUAUCUGGAGGAACACCGGUGGCGAAGGCGGCAUCCUGGACCGACAUUGACGCUGAGGCGCGAAAGCCAGGGGAGCAAACGGGA
rnacentral:rRNA from 1 species